rnacentral:lncRNA from 1 species
AGCCUGUCAGCAAUGGAGGUGCUGGAGGAUUUCUGGAAGGGGGGGGCCUCAUUCAAGACCACCAAGGGACUGCUGACUGUUCUCGUUCAUGACGCCUCUCUUCAAGGAAAUUGACCCUCCCAGAGUGCAAGACGGAGAAAAAGGUUCUUAAGAACUUCCCCUGGAAAUCACCACUGAAUGGAUGCCAGGCAAUUCUAGAAUCUCCACUCUUUGGUUUUUUGGGCCCUUGGAUGGAUGAGAAGUGAUGUGCAGAUCUGAUGGGAAAAAUGGCAGAGACCACAGCUUCUCUCCUAAACCCUCAUUCAUUGCCCAUCGGACAAUUCUCCUGUUUCCGAUCCUGUAAGGUCACAAGGAUUUCUCAUUUCAGGUAGACCAGAAAAGAAGCCACUGAUGGAAUGCUGCAAGAAGGGGUUUACCAUGCGGUGUGAUUUCUGGGACCCCUUCUUCCCUGUUGAAAAUAUUUCACAGGCCCCCAGGACCUCCCCCAAAAGACAAGGGCAGAAACCAAAGAAAAUGCACUGUUCCAAUUUUGUCCAGGCUGCCUGUGGAAUGAGAAACCCAUGAGAAAGUUAUUGAGACUUCAGUUUUCUAUUCCUCUCCUUAUCCGGCCUCAUUACCUCCCCAACCCCUGAGAGAAAAAAUAAAUAAUUCACAAACAAAGGACGAGGGUGUGGUGGAUUGAGAGCAGGUUUGCUUGGUGACAGGAGG